GGGUUUAAAUAUUUUGUUGGGGCGACAGGGGUAUAAAAUGUAACUGCUCUAGAGUAAUAGUUAGUCGAUAUCUAGUUAUGUGAUCCUUUAGUAGAGAUGUUAGUUUAAGUUACUUUAGGGAUAACAGCGUAAUUUUUUUUGAGAGUUCGUAUCGAAAAAAAAGUUUGCGACCUCGAUGUUGAAUUAAAGAUCCUUUGCGGCGCAGAAGUUGUAAGAGGAGGUCUGUUCGACCUUUAAAUCUUUACAUGAUCUGAG
rnacentral:rRNA from 1 species